rnacentral:rRNA from 1 species
AUACGACCAUAGGGUGUGGAAAAUAGGGCUUCCCGUCCGCUCAGCCGUACUCAAGCCACAUGCCGGUCAAUUAGUAGUAUGGUGGGUGACCACAUGCGAAUCCUGACUGUUGUAU